rnacentral:rRNA from 1 species
AGCAGCCGCGGUAAUUCCAGCUCCAAUAGCGUAUAUUAAAGUUGCUGCAGUUAAAAAGCUCGUAGUUGAAUUUCGGGACUAAUAUGUCGGUCGUGCCUCGGUACGUACUGGCUUAUUGGUUUCUCCUUUCUGAAGAACCAUGAUGUCAUUUAUUUGGUGUCGUGGGGAAUCAGGACUGUUACUUUGAAAAAUUAGAGUGUUUAAAGCAGGCUCACGCUUGAAUACAUUAGCAUGGAAUAAUGAAAUAGGACGUUUGAUUCUAUUUUGUUGGUUUCUAGGAUCGACGUAAUGAUUAAUAGGGAUAGUUGGGGGCAUUAGUAUUCAAUUGUCAGAGGUGAAAUUCUUGGAUUUAUUGAAGACUAACUACUGCGAAAGCAUUUGCCAAGGAUGUUUUCAUUAAUCAAGAACGAAAGUUAGGGGAUCGAAGACGAUCAGAUACCGUCGUAGUCUUAACCAUAAACUAUGCCGACUAGGGAUCGGAUGAUGUUAAUUUUUAAUGUACUCAUUCGGCGCCUUAAC